rnacentral:rRNA from 11 species
AAAAGAAAUCAACCGAGAUUCCCCUAGUAGCGGCGAGCGAACGGGGACCAGCCGAGCCAUGAGUGUGGUUAGAAUGCGUUGGAAUGCGCAACCAGAGUGGGUGAUAGUCCCGUAUAAGAAGCAUGAUUGGACGUAUUAAGUAGGGCGGAACACGUGAAAUUCUGUCUGAAGAUCGGAGGACCACCUUCGAAGGCUAAGUACUCCUUACUGACCGAUAGUGAACCAGUACCGUGAGGGAAAGGUGAAAAGCACCCCGACGAGGGGAGUGAAACAGUACCUGAAACCGAACGCCUACAAACAGUUGGAGGGACCUUGCGUCCUGACAGCGUACCUUUUGUAUAAUGGGUCAUCGACUUGGUCUCACAAGCAAGCUUAAGCCGUUAGGUGUAGGCGUAGCGAAAGCGAGUCUUAAUAGGGCGUUGAGUUUGUGGGAUCAGACCCGAAACCGAGUGAUCUAGGCAUGGCCAGGUUGAAGGUUAGGUAACACUAACUGGAGGACCGAACCCACAUCUGUUGAAAAAGAUCGGGAUGAGCUGUGCCUAGGGGUGAAAGGCCAAUCAAACUCGGAGAUAGCUGGUUCUCUGCGAAAUCUAUUUAGGUAGAGCGUCGACCGAAUACCCUCGGGGGUAGAGCACUGGAUGGGUAAUGGGGACUCACCGUCUUACUGAUCCUAACCAAACUCCGAAUACCGAGGAGUACUAGUCGGCAGACACACGGCGAAUGCUAACGUCCGUCGUGAAGAGGGAAACAACCCUAACCUCCAGCUAAGGCCCCUAAUUCAUGGCUAAGUGGGAAAGCAGGUGAGACGACCAAAACAACCAGGAGGUUGGCUUAGAAGCAGCCAUCCUUUAAAGAUAGCGUAACAGCUCACUGGUCUA